GAAAUCCUGAGGUGUUCGUUAAGAUCUGUUAAUUUAACCUACAGAAAGUUCACGGGAUCUUGCGUUUCCGCGACCAAUGUCAGGCCGUCAGUGAACGGAAGACAAAAGCCGGGACAGAGAACCCACCUAUCUAAGAGAUAGGGUGUGAAUUAAGGGUCUGACGGCACAUCGGGAUUUUU
rnacentral:other from 1 species